rnacentral:misc_RNA from 1 species
GUAGGUGAACCUGCGGAGGGAUCAUUACCGAGCGAGGGCCUCGCGCCCGACCUCCAACCCUCUGUCGAUCAAUACCUGUUGCCUCGGGGGGCGACCCGGACGGCCCCCGCCCGGGAGUCCCCCAGGGGACCAACCAACUCUGCAUCUUUGCGUCGGAGUAUUGAAUACCAAUCAAUCAAAACUUUUAACAACGGAUCUCUUGGUUCUG